CCAGUUGUAAAAAUACGUCAACUUUUCUCUGUUAUAGCUGGACUUGGCUACCUUACGUUGGCAUCUGGCCUGAAUCAUUUCCUUAGAGGGUUCAAGCUACUUUGCUGUUUGGAACCAAAUUUUACAAUUUCUUAUAGGCAAUAAUUUAUAAAAGAUAUCCCUUUGCAAUAUUCACAGCAAUAUAUUAAUGAUUAAUCACAAGCCAGAAUGUUCAAAUGAUGUCCUAGAGUGUAAAGGUGGUAUGGGGCUAUAUACAUAUCAACUGCAUUUAAUAAUUUAAUGAUGACUAAAGAUAAGGUUGCUCUUCUCGGUGAAACUGAAUUUGGUAUUGGACCAGAUUCAUGCUUUUAUAUAGCUGUCUGAAAUGUUAUGUAAUGAAGUUCUUUCAAUGUACUAAAUCCUAAGAGGGGAGCAUAGUGACCUUGAUGUUGAAAUGAUAGAGUAACGUUCAGGGUAUAUCUGCCUAGAUGACACAUACCACUUUCAAGGAUAUACACAUUAGAGAAUAAAUGGGUGGAGAUGACCCCUAGCAUCUGAUAUUAAUUCAAAGCAUCAAGUCCUUAAUUUAAUUAAAUUUCUGUCAUGACAAAUGCUAGUUGAAUUGAGGUAGAAACUACUUAUAGACUGUUAAGUUAAUUUAAAUUAGCUCAUGGAAGACAUAAUAUGAUUUUUAAAU
rnacentral:lncRNA from 1 species